UACGUAGGGUCCGAGCGUUUGUCCGGAAUUAUUGGGCGUAAAGGGCUCGUAGGCGGUUUGUCACGUCGGGAGUGAAAACUCAGGGCUCAACCCUGAGCGUGCUUCCGAUACGGGCAGACUAGAGGUAUGCAGGGGAGAACGGAAUUCCUGGUGUAGCGGUGAAAUGCGCAGAUAUCAGGAGGAACACCAGUGGCGAAGGCGACUUCCUGGCCUGUUCUUGACGCUGAGGCGCGAAAGCUAGGGGAGCAAACGGG
rnacentral:rRNA from 1 species